rnacentral:rRNA from 1 species
AGUGAACGCUGGCGGUAGGCCUAACACAUGCAAGUCGAACGGCAGCACAGUAAGAGCUUGCUCUUACGGGUGGCGAGUGGCGGACGGGUGAGGAAUACAUCGGAAUCUACUUUUUCGUGGGGGAUAACGUAGGGAAACUUACGCUAAUACCGCAUACGACCUACGGGUGAAAGCAGGGGAUCUUCGGACCUUGCGGGAUUGAAUGAGCCGAUGUCGGAUUAGCUAGUUGGCGGGGUAAAGGCCCACCAAGGCGACGAUCCGAAGCUGGUCUGAGAGGAUGAUCCGCCACCCUGGAACUGAGACACGUUCCAGACUCCUACGGGAGGCAGCAGUGGGGAAUAUUGGAGAAUGGGCGCAAGCCUGAUCCAGCCAUACCGCGUGAGUGCAGAAGGACUUCGGGUUGUAAAGCCCUUUUGUUGGGAAAGAAAAGCAGCAGGUUAAUACCCCGCUGUUCUGACGGUACCCAAAGAAUAAGCACCGGCUAACUUCGUG